GAGGAAUAUUGGACAAUGGGCGCAAGCCUGAUCCAGCCAUGCCGCGUGCAGGAUGACGGUCCUAUGGAUUGUAAACUGCUUUUAUACGAGAAGAAACACUCCUACGUGUAGGAGCUUGACGGUAUCGUAAGAAUAAGGAUCGGCUAACUCCGUGCCAGCAGCCGCGGUAAUACGGAGGAUCCAAGCGUUAUCCGGAAUCAUUGGGUUUAAAGGGUCCGUAGGCGGUUUGGUAAGUCAGUGGUGAAAGCCCAUCGCUCAACGGUGGAACGGCCAUUGAUACUGCCAGACUUGAAUUACUGGGAAGUAACUAGAAUAUGUAGUGUAGCGGUGAAAUGCUUAGAGAUUACAUGGAAUACCAAUUGCGAAGGCAGGUUACUACCAGUGGAUUGACGCUGAUGGACGAAAGCGUGGGUAGCGAAC
rnacentral:rRNA from 1 species